AAUGAACGUCGGCGGCAUGGAUUAGGCAUGCAAGUCGGGGGAAUCCCAGCAAUGGGGGAACCGGCGUAAGGGGCAGUAAGGCAUGGGUACCUACCUUGGGGUUCGGGAUAGCCAUCAGAGAUGGUGGGUAAUACCGGAUGACGUCGUGAGACCAAAGAUUUAUCGCCCUUAGAGGGGCCCAUGUGAUAUUAGCUCGUUGGGGGGGUAACGGCCCACCAAGGCGAAGAUGUCGAGCGGGUGUGAGGGCACGACCCGCGCCACUCGCACUGAGACACUGGCGAGACACCCACGUGAGGCUGCAGUCGGGGAGCUACGGCAAUGAGCGCAAGCUUGACCGAGCGAUGCCGCGUGGGCGAUGAAGGCCGUAGGGUUGUAGAGCUCUUUGGUGGGGGAGAAAAGUCGCAAGGUGUGAUUUAUCCCAAAAAUCAGCACGGGCUAAGUGCGUGCCAGCCGCCGCAGUAA
rnacentral:rRNA from 1 species